rnacentral:rRNA from 1 species
UACGUAGGCAGCAAGCGUUGUUCGGAGUUACUGGGCGUAAAGGGUGCGUAGGCGGCUUUUUAAGUUUGGUGUGAAAUCUCCCGGCUCAACUGGGAGGGUGCGCCGAAUACUGAGAGGCUAGAGUGUGGGAGAGGAAAGUGGAAUUCCUGGUGUAGCGGUGAAAUGCGUAGAUAUCAGGAGGAACACCGGUGGUGUAAACGGCUUUCUGGACCAUAACUGACGCUGAGGCACGAAAGCGUGGGUAGCAAACAG